GUCCAGAUCUAGAGGGGGAUAAGGACGAUGAGAAGGAUAAAGUUGUGGCAGUUGAGCUAAAAGUCAUGUUCGAGUUUUUUGGUGGGUCUGACUGGACAGGGGAAAAUGUGGUCCGACUUCUUUUAUCUAAAAGUUUGGGAAAGAUACCCAUAGCUUCUCUCUUGCCAUGUUUAUUAACAAAGAUGUUAGACACUACUCCAUGAGAAAUGUCCUUGUGAAAAUAAAAACCAUGCCAUCAAAAGAGUCGGGUGCAAAGAUGCCUACUUCAUGAGAAUCACCUGCCCAGUUGUUUUUGUGCCUUGUCUGUGACAUCAAAACUGAAACACUUAUAUCACUGUCACUCAUGGUUUUCUUUUCCUGUGUCAUACAUACAAAGUGCAUUUGAUUGUAAUGAUUUAAAGUAAAUAAAGCAUUUCAUCU
rnacentral:lncRNA from 1 species